rnacentral:rRNA from 1 species
UGGGGAAUAUUGCACAAUGGGCGCAAGCCUGAUGCAGCCAUGCCGCGUGUAUGAAGAAGGCCUUCGGGUUGUAAAGUACUUUCAGCGGGGAGGAAGGCGAUAAGGUUAAUAACCUUGUCGAUUGACGUUACCCGCAGAAGAAGCACCAGCUAACUCCGUGCCAGCAGCCGCGGUAAUACGGAGGGUGCAAGCGUUAAUCGGAAUUACUGGGCGUAAAGCGCACGCAGGCGGUCUGUCAAGUCGGAUGUGAAAUCCCCGGGCUCAACCUGGGAACUGCAUUCGAAACUGGCAGGCUAGAGUCUUGUAGAGGGGGGUAGAAUUCCAGGUGUAGCGGUGAAAUGCGUAGAGAUCUGGAGGAAUACCGGUGGCGAAGGCGGCCCCCUGGACAAAGACUGACGCUCAGGUGCGAAAGCGUGGGGAGCAAACA